UCCGGUAUAGUACAUCGGCUAGUAUAUCCGCCUUUCAAGAUUCGUCUGGUUGUCGCGGGAGAGCGGGGUUCGAUUCCCCGUACCGGAA